ACUUAAAAUGAGAGCUUCGGCAGGAUUUUUAUUUAUCUUAGUGGCGGACGGGUGAGUAACGUGUGGGCAACCUGCCCUAUACUGGGGAAUAAUCACUGGAAACGGUGACUAAUACCGCAUGUCAUUACGGAAGGGCAUCCUUCUGUAAGAAAAGGAGUAAUUCGGUAUAGGAUGGGCCCGCAUCUGAUUAGCUAGUUGGUGAGAUAGCAGCCCACCAAGGCGACGAUCAGUAGCCGACCUGAGAGGGUGAUCGGCCACAUUGGGACUGAGACACGGCCCAAACUCCUACGGGAGGCAGCAGUGGGGAAUAUUGCACAAUGGGGGAAACCCUGAUGCAGCAACGCCGCGUGAAGGAAGAAGGUUUUCGGAUCGUAAACUUCUAUCAACAGGGACGAAGAAAGUGACGGUACCUGAAUAAGAAGCCCCGGCUAACUACGUGCCUGCAGCCGCGGUAAUACGUAGGGGGCAAGCGUUAUCCGGAAUUACUGGGUGUAAAGGGAGCGUAGGCGGCACGCCAAGCCAGAUGUGAAAGCCCGAGGCUUAACCUCGCGGAUUGCAUUUGGAACUGGCGAGCUAGAGUACAGGAGAGGAAAGCGGAAUUCCUAGUGUAGCGGUGAAAUGCGUAGAUAUUAGGAAGAACACCAGUGGCGAAGGCGGCUUUCUGGACUGAAACUGACGCUGAGGCUCGAAAGCGUGGGGAGCAAACAGGAUUAGAUACCCUGGUAGUCCACGCCGUAAACGAUGAGUGCUAGGUGUCGGGGAGGAAUCCUCGGUGCCGCAGCUAACGCAAUAAGCACUCCACCUGG
rnacentral:rRNA from 1 species